rnacentral:rRNA from 1 species
AUUCCAGCUCCAAGAGCGUAUAUUAAAGUUGUUGCAGUUAAAAAGCUCGUAGUUGGAUUUCUGGUAUAAUGCGCCUGGCCCGCUCCGUUUCGGAGUGAGUGCCGGUGCGCGUUUGCCAUCCUUCUAGAAAAUGUUUCUACCCUUCGCUGGGCCGGAUUCACGAUCUAGAUCUUUUACUUUGAAAAAAUUAGAGUGUUUAAAGCAGGCUUUUGCUAUGAAUACAUUAGCAUGGAAUAAUAAUCUAGGACUUCGGUUCUAUUUUGUUGGUUUCUAGUACUGAAGUAAUGAUUGAUAGGGAUAGUUGGGGGUGCUAGUAUUGAGCGGCCAGAGGUGAAAUUCUUGGAUUCGCUCAAGACUAACUUAUGCGAAAGCAUUCACCAAGGAUGUCUUCAUCA